AACGAACGCUGGCGGCAGGCCUAAUACAUGCAGGUCGAACGAACCUUUUAGGUGAGUGGCGCACGGGUGAGUAACGCGUGGGAACGUGCCCCUGGGUGCGGAACAACGUCUGGAAACGGACGCUAACACCGCAUAAUGACUCCGGUCCAAAGAUUUAUCGCCCAGGGAUCGGCCCGCGUCUGAUUAGCUAGUUGGCGGGGUAAUGGCCCACCAAGGCGACGAUCAGUAGCUGGUCUGAGAGGAUGAUCAGCCACACUGGGACUGAGACACGGCCCAGACUCCUACGGGAGGCAGCAGUAAGGGAUAUUGGACAAUGGAGGAAACUCUGAUCCAGCCAUGCCGCGUGAGUGAAGAGGGCCUACGGGUUGUAAAGCUCUUUCAGUAGUGAAGAUGAUGACGGUAACUACAGAAGAAGCUCCGGCUAACUUCGUGCCAGCAGCCGCGGUAAUACGGAAGGGGCGAGCGUUGUCGGAAUCACUGGGCUUAAAGCGUACGUAGGU
rnacentral:rRNA from 1 species